CCAUAUCACCACAAGCUGUGAUCUCAGAUACAAAGAGCUAAGCACAGUCAGCCGGAAUCAGCAGUUGGAUAGGAGACUACUAGGGAAAGCUUAGCCGUGGUCUACA
rnacentral:rRNA from 1 species